CUCAAACAGUCUGUAGUUCAGUUACUAUCCAUCUUCUAAGGCAGUUGUUCUCAAGUGGGGGUGAUUUUCCCCCCGGGAGACAGUUGGCAAUGUCUGGAGAUGUUUUUGGUUGUUACAACUUGGGAAGGGGUUGCUAUGGGUCUCUAGUGGGUAGAGGCCAGGGAUGUUAAUAAACAGCCUUCAGUGUGCAGGACAGGCCCCACAAUAAAGAAUUACCCAACUCCAAAUGUCACUCGUGACAAGGUUGAGAAACCCUGUUCAAGAGGAGAAAUUGAUGCUCAACAGAGGAGAUGACACUGUCUUUUUCUAAGUGUGGCUAGGGAAAGUUUUGGUAGGUUCCACGUCAUAAGCUACGGGGGAGUAACAUGGCAAGUAGGGAUAGCAAGCUAGUAUGCUUUUUCCCCCUUGUAGAGUGUACACUAUGAAAGUGAACAAUUAUUUCUCAAUAGAUUUUAUUUAAGAUGCUGAAAUAAACUCUAACUGAAUGCACCAUCUGAGAACACUGAACUGCAUGAAAGAGCAGUGGAGUCCAUUCACAUGAUCCUCUACAGCCCCACUGGAGAUGGACUUCAGUUUGGUUCCAGAUGGACUGUCCAGCUGUUUGCCUGGCAACACUUUCCCAGAUUGCCCACUGCUUUUGGGGCCUACGUCAAUGAAGGACACCAGUGGAUGCUCACUAAAUACUUACUAAUUGAUCGACUCAGACGAUAAUUAAGUCUUCAUUAAGUGAAUUCUAAAUUCUGGUCAAAUCAGAGUUCUUGUCAUAAAAUAACUCUGUUCUCCGAGAAGCCAGCCUACGGAGCGAGCCCUGGGGGCGACACAGACGGUCGGCCUGGAAGUGUGCGUGCAGCCCACUCUGCUCACGGUCAUGCUCACCUGUGGUGACAAAUCAGCCCUGGACACACCACAAGAUUCGAGAAUGACAGUUUGUCUCUCAACAGUGGACACGGCAGCCCCACUCUCCUCGCCUACAAAUUUUGGUUGAGUACGACAUGGUCUUAAAUAUAACCAGUUCAGGCAAAAAUCACUGAUUCUAGGUUUAAAAACAUGCAGACAAACGGACAAAAGCACAUUCUCUCUCACAUAGAUAGUGUGCUAGAAAUUUGCCAGCAUUUUAUUUAAAUGAAUGAAGCAAAUCAUUUAUCUAAUUGACUAAUAUAAAUUUACACCUUCACAUAAAUGCAUAUUCCAAGCCAAUUUGGCAUGUUAUCCAUCUGUACAUCCAAUAAUACUGUACUGUUCACAGAGCAUGUGGAAUAUAGAAGAAUAUCAAGUUCACGUCUCGUGUGUGUAUGUGUUGGUGUGACGUUGACUACUAAUAAAGUUGAGCCAGAGGAGGAAGGGGG
rnacentral:lncRNA from 1 species